rnacentral:rRNA from 1 species
GACGAACGCUGGCGGCGUGCUUAACACAUGCAAGUCGAGCGGAAAGGCCACUUCGGUGGUACCCGAGCGGCGAACGGGUGAGUAACACGUGAGUAAUCUGCCCCUGGCUUUGGGAUAGCCACCGGAAACGGUGAUUAAUACCGGAUACGACCACUUCUCGCAUGGGAUGGUGGUGGAAAGUUUUUUCGGCCAGGGAUGUGCUCGCGGCCUAUCAGCUUGAUGGUGAGGUAAUGGCUCACCAUGGCUUCGACGGGUAGCCGGCCUGAGAGGGUGACCGGUCACACUGGGACUGAGACACGGCCCAGACUCCUACGGGAGGCAGCAGUGGGGAAUAUUGGACAAUGGGCGGAAGCCUGAUCCAGCAACGCCGCGUGAGGGGUGACGGCCUUCGGGUUGUAAACCUCUUUCAGCAGGGACGUAGCGCAAGUGACGGUACCUGCAGAAGAAGCACCAGCCAACUACGUGCCAGCCGCCGCGGUAA